UCGACUUGUGCGCCAUGACGCUGACCAAAGCCACCAACGAGGAGAUGGAAGCAUGGAUGGGCAUCAUGGUCGACAUGCUGGAGGACACAGUCGGAAUCAUCGCCCACACCCUCAACAAAGAAUCAUCCUUGUCAGUGAACUCUUCUUCUAUUAAGGGAGAACGAUGGUGAAAACCCGGCCGCCGACCUCAACAUCCGAUCAUCUGCCAAACAAAUGAUUCUUAACCGGGAC